CUACAGACAGAAGUUGGCACAUUGGCGGUCUAGACUUCAAACGAAGAACACCAUUGAGUUUGUGAGUCUCAUCUUUCCAUAGAAGGGUCAUAUUAGUUUGUAGCCCAAACCGUUUGGACGCUACAUACAUUAUUGUGAGAUUUUCAGGAUGUUUCCUGGUUUGACAAACACCGCUGCUCUGCCAACUUCCACGGCAGAUGCGGAAGUCCGACAUUGGUGGAUGCGGUGGAUCAACCUGGUCUCAUAGCAUUUCUUGUUAUUCUGUUUUGUCACUCAUUUUGUGGCACAGAGUCUACAUGGAUUAUUCUACACUCAGCCAGAUACAGUAGCGGCAGCAUCGCCCUUGCAGAAAAACCAGCAACAGAUUGGCUAGUGAAACGCACACUGGGAACUUUGAUUGGACAAGUAAACAGUCUAUCAACACAGAUCGGGUGGUGAGCUAGCGAACAGAUUGUUGAUUUGCUGUACGGGUGCGGCGCAAACGUCAAAUUAUAGGAAAAGGGGAUUGCCAUAAUAAAUAGCUCCAAAAAUGGUUUGGCGAUCAGGAAUAUGAACUGUUUACUUUGCAAUCUCAGCAGCAAUUGGGAAACAAUUACUAAUAUAGGCCUACUGGUAUUUUGGUAUGUAACAAUUACUUGAAUAUGAUAAUUUACUUACGAAGCUUGCAUUUGGAAUAUGUUUCAAAUUAAUUAUUACUUUGGCGAAGACGCACCAAAGGUGUAGUGGCGAGUGUUUUGUUUUUUUAUCUUGUUGAAAUGUUUGCUCUUGCUUUCACAUGUUUAAAUGUAUAGGCCCUAUGUGGUAAGUCUAUAUUCCAUCUAAUACUACAAUAAUUGUUAGCGUUUCAUCAUUCCAUCCCCGUAACAUUUAUUGCUACACAUACAUUUAUUUUUCAUGUUUGAUAGGUCUUUGAUAUAUUCUUAUUUAGCCAACCAUGUCUUACCCUCUGAGUGGGCGCUGCGUUUAUUGUGCACAUGAACGUUCACAAGACUCUUGAGGUAGAAGUUCUGUUUAUUUAAUUCAAUGAAUGCUUUCCUUUGUUUUCCAGUGUUAUGUCGGAGUUCCGUCUGUGUUCUAUGUCUCUGUCAUUCUGGUUGUGCAUAUUAGGAGCGUGUGCGCCUCAGUGCGCAUAGAAAUAGGCUACGUAGCCUACGCUCACGCUUUGGAGUAGGAGAAUAGGAGAAAAUGAUUGUUCCAUGUAUGCAUGGUGUUGACAUAUUAUUAAUAAUGUAACAAUGGAUGUGGAAAUUGCCUUUUAAAUUGUAGAAAAGGUUUAUUGGUUAUAAUUGGCAAUUGGCAAAUUAUUUGGUCCUGGGGGCCAAGUACUUAUGUUAUGUAGGCCUACCUGUUUGAGCUCCUGUUAGACAGAUUCGAUUUGGUUUGUACAGUCUUGCCCUCUACCGCUACCUUGCCCUCAAGUUUA
rnacentral:lncRNA from 1 species